rnacentral:rRNA from 1 species
AUUGAACGCUGGCGGCAUGCCUUACACAUGCAAGUCGAACGGCAGCGGGGACUUCGGUCCGCCGGCGAGUGGCGAACGGGUGAGUAAUGUAUCGGAACGUACCAUUGAGUGGGGGAUAGCGCAGCGAAAGCUGCGCUAAUACCGCAUACGAUCUGAGGAUGAAGGCGGGGGACCGUAAGGCCUCGCGCGAUCGGAGCGGCCGAUGUCAGAUUAGGUAGUUGGUGGGGUAAAGGCUCACCAAGCCGACGAUCUGUAGCUGGUCUGAGAGGACGACCAGCCACACUGGGACUGAGACACGGCCCAGACUCCUACGGGAGGCAGCAGUGGGGAAUUUUGGACAAUGGGCGAAAGCCUGAUCCAGCAAUGCCGCGUGCAGGAAGAAGGCCUUCGGGUUGUAAACUGCUUUUGUACGGAGCGAAAAGGCUCUCUCUAAUACAGGGGGCUCAUGACGGUACCGUAAGAAUAAGCACCGGCUAACUACGUGCCAGCAGCCGCCGUAA